AGCAGCCGCGGUAAUUCCAGCUCCAAUAGCGUAUAUUAAAGUUGUUGCAGUUAAAAAGCUCGUAGUUGAAUUUCGGAAUCUGUCCGUUGGUCGGGCUUAAUUGUCCGUACUGAUGUGAUGGGUUCUUACCUUCUGAAUAACCAGCAUGUCAUUAAUUUGAUGUGUUGGGGAAGCAGGACUAUUACCUUGAAAAAAUUAGAGUGCUCAAAGCAGGCU
rnacentral:rRNA from 1 species